CUAACCUCAUUCUACAGCAGUCGACAGGAGUCGAUGUUAAGUAAAAAUUGAUUCAAUCCAGUUUCUGUUUACUUAAUCAUUCCAUUUCGUUUACUGAGAUGAUCGAUACUUUUAUUACUUUGGAGCGAUCAUAUUCCUAAGGUCAUUAAAGAUUACUGGUGAGAUUCAGGAACAAAUUAUGUAAGAUUCUUAUAUGAUCAUGGUAGAAAUACAGAGACAAGUCAGAGACAAAUAUAGUUGAAAAUACUUUCAAUGAUGGAUAUCAUGGAGCACUAUUUUGGGCUUCUUUUGAUAAUGAUGUACAUACUAAAAGCUCUAAUGAGGAACCGUCAAAUGUCAUAAACGAGAUAGACUCGUAUAUAUAUCUUAGAUGUAUAUCUUAAGAGAAACAUGAAUCCUUUGGAAUAUUGGAAAAUUAACGUUGCAAAAUAUCUGUUUUUAUCAAAAUUGGCUAAAAAGUUUUUACAUGUUUCUGCAACUUCAGU